rnacentral:lncRNA from 1 species
GCGGGGUCGGUCCCGGGCGCGGGCGGCGCCUCCACUCCGAUAGUCAGCGGCGACGGGGGCAGCUGCGACGGCACAUCACACCCGCCGGCGGCCGGAGGAGGAAAGCAAACCACGCAGGGAGGGAUCGAGCGAGGUAGGGGGGAAGGAACGAGCGAGGGAGGUAAGGCAGCUCGGCCCGGCUCGGACUAGGUCUCAGCACUACAGCCAGUGCUUCCUACCGCCGCCGCUGGCCGGAGAGUCGCCGCCCGGGCCGCUGCUGUCGCCACCGAUGCAGUCGGGAAUGAAUGCACAGCGGCACCUCACUUAUCCGGAGGUCAAACAUCCUUCUGCCUCGAGCAUCCGGAUCGGCGCCGGACCCGGAAGUGAACACAUGGAAAAAAAAAAUUAAAAAGGAAAGCGUCUCCCUAGCGGUGGCGGCCCCUCAAGCUGCCCGCAUCAGCGAAUGGAGCCGAGUAGAGCCGAAGAUUUCACCGAACGGCUAGGAUUGGUCGGAUCGCCGACCGGAAGGGAGGCCGCGCACUCAUUGGCUGGCAAGCUUUAUAAAACCUUAACCACUCCCUGUCUCCACCUUCGCGCGAGCGGAAAAUUGCUCAUGAACAGAGUCUUGGUCACAUGUCUGAAUGAGAGUUUCCAGGAACGUGAAGACGGGAUAUCUGGCUUUUGUGGCUUCUGUAACAGAGGGGAUUAUAGAAUGAAGAAUUUUGCUCAAAUCUUUUAAGAUGCUGGAAGCCAUCCCCUCCUCACACACAUACAUAGAAGACAACUUAAAAAGUCAACCAUCUAAUGUCACUAUAAUUAAUGUGUGGUCUAUUUAUAAAAAUAAUUGUCAACCUAGGAGUGAAAUAAAAGAAAAAUCUUUUUUGUAAAAAAUUAUCUGAUUCUAUGAAAGAAUUUUAGGCU